AACGUAGGGGGCGAGCGUCAUCCGGAAUUACUGGGCGUAAAGGGCGCGUAGGCGGAACGUCAAGUUAGGGGUGAAAGGCCUGGGCUCAACCUAGGAACGGCCUCUAAAACUGACGAUCUAGAGUCCGGAAGAGGAUGGCGGAAUUCCCAGUGUAGAGGUGAAAUUCGUAGAUAUUGGGAAGAACACCGGUGGCGAAGGCGGCCAUCUGGUCCGGUACUGACGCUGAGGCGCGAAAGCGUGGGGAGCAAACAGG
rnacentral:misc_RNA from 1 species